rnacentral:rRNA from 1 species
UACGAAGGGGCUAGCGUUGCUCGGAAUCACUGGCGUAAAGCGCACGUAGGCGGGUUGUUAAGUCGGGGUGAAAUCCUGGAGCUCAACUCCAGAACUGCCUUUGAUACUGAAGAUCUUGAGUUCGGGAGAGGUGAGUGGAGCUGCGAGUGUAGAGGUGAAAUUCGUAGAUAUUCGCAAGAACACCAGUGGCGAAGGCGGCUCACUGGCCCGAUACUGACGCUGAGGCACGAAAGCGUGGGAGCAACAGG